rnacentral:rRNA from 1 species
AUUAUUGGGCGUAAAGGGUGCGUAGGCGGCCAUUUAAGUCCUUGGUAUAAGUGCAGUGCUUAACGCUGUGAUGCUAAGGAAACUGGAUGGCUUGAGUGAGAUAGAGGCAAGUGGAAUUCCAUGUGUAGCGGUAAAAUGCGUAAAUAUAUGGAGGAACACCAGUGGCGAAGGCGGCUUGCUGGGUCUUCACUGACGCUGAGGCACGAAAGCGUGGGUAGCAAACAGGAUUAGAUACCCUGGUAGUCCACGCCGUAAACGAUGAGUACUAAGUGUUGGAGAAAUUCAGUGCUGUAGUUAACGCAAUAAGUACUCCGCCUGAGUAGUACGUACGCAAGUAUGAAACUCAAAGGAAUUGACGGGACCCCGCACAAGCGGUGGAUCAUGUUGUUUAAUUCGAAGAUACGCGAAAAACCUUACCAGGUCUUGACAUCCCUUGCAAUGCUAUAGAGAUAUAGUGGAGGUUAUCAAGGAGACAGGUGGUGCAUGGUUGUCGUCAGCUCGUGUCGUGAGAUGUUGGGUUAAGUCCCGCAACGAGCGCAACCCUUAUUGCUAGUUGCCAUCAUUUAGUUGGGGACUCUAGCGAGACUGCCAGUGAUAAACUGGAGGAAGGUGGGGAUGACGUCAAAUCAUCAUGCCCCUUAUGACCUGGGCUACAAACGUGAUACAAUGGCUAUUACAAAGGGGCAGCGAAGCCGCGAGGUGG